rnacentral:lncRNA from 1 species
UUUUGAAACUUUCAGAACAUUUUAAUGAAAAAGACAGCAAUGUACCCAUUGAACAAGAAAAUUACAUUUCAUUAGAGAAAAAUGUAAGAUUUGUGGAUUUUGUAGAGCCAAGCUCUUUAUGUACAGCAUAUUGCACUAGACAAACAAAUAUGUCCCUCGUUCCCCCUCUCUUUCCCCUUGUGUUUCACGCUGUUCGAAAACUGUGCAGGGCUCUCAGAAGCGUCUCAUAAUGCCGCCUGCAUCCCAAAUGGCUCGAUAUCUUAUAUACUACUUUUGACCAGGGAACAUAGAGCACUGGUCAAAAGUAGUGCACUACAUAGGGUAUAGGGUGCCAUUUUGGACAGACAGGUCUGCUACAUUUAGACUGAGCCUUCCUUCAAAAAACACACCGCCCCGACCGAUGUGGAAUCCUUGAGACAGUUCUGAGAGCUCUAAUGACGUGUUCUAGAAUGAUGUGAUAUCUGAAGAUGGUUCUGAGAGCUCUAAUGAUGUGUUCUAGAAUGAUGUGAUGUGAUAUCUGAAGAUGGUUCUGAGAGCUCUAAUGAUGUGUUCUAGAAUGAUGUGAUGUGAAGGCAAUGCUAAAGAGAGUCCCAAUUCAACAGAGCAGGAGUUAGAUGGAAGUUCACAAUGUUUCAGUUUAUAUAGUAUUUAAAAAAAGAGACAUUGUGUUUUUUCCUCUCAAUUCAUUUACAUUCAAACACAGAUUUCAGGAAUGCUGGGACAUGCAUUUUUACUCCAUAUACAGAAUUAUCAAAUAUCAAAAACAGCCCUUGAACUGAGAACGACACAGCGGACUUAAAUUGGUAAAAACCAAAAAGCAUGUCACAACAUUUAAAAAGCGAUCUUUAAAAAAUAAAAAUAAAAAUCAUGUUUUCGGACUUCAUUGUUACAUUUGUUUUGUUUUUUUACAAAAGUAUACAAAAGUUUUUUUUUCGCUUAGAAAGUUAACAAGUUAAGAAUUAGCUGCAGCGAAUUGUUUUGUUUGUUGAUAUAAAACACAAAUAAUCACAGCACUUAACAGUUAAGAUUCACUCUUUCUUGGGAAAUUCAAAAAACCGAAUGAAUUUUUUAAAAAACUUAAUAUUCAAGAUAUUGAAGGUUGAACAUAUCAUAUAAGUUUUAACCUCGAAGGAGGGUUGAGACAAUGGUUGGUUCUUAUGGAUUUGACGUCAACACCAACCCAUAGGAUGACCACACAACCCCUCCUACUUACAAAUAAUUCUGGACGCCGUGGUGGCUCACUCCUCCUUGUACCCUCAUCCUACAUCGCUACUAGGUCGUGUCACAAACGGCACCCUAUUUUCUAUAUAGUACACUACUUUUGACCAGAGCCCUAUGGGAGCCAUUUGGGACCCCCUAUGGGACCCGGUUAAUAGUAGUGCACUAUAAUGUUGAGUAGGUGCCAUUUGGGACACAAGAAAGCUAGUCUUGUUGAGCUAGGCUGAGUCAGCAUACAACAGAUCUUAAAGACAAAUGGAUCUAGAGAGGUUCAGUACAGGAGUCUGAAGAGUGGGUGCAUAUAAAAACAACAUUACUUCCCAGUGCACGUUGAUUGUCAACAGUCGUUUGGAUAUUUGAGUUUUGGGGUGAUAAGCCGGGAGUGUGUGUGUUUAGAGGGGUCAGGGUUGAGAGGGGUCAGGGUUAAAGGUCAUAGAUUAGGCAUGUGCCCUAGAGGGUGGAUAUGGUUGUGUCCAAAAUGGCACCCUAUUCCCUAUGGGCCCUGGUCAAAUGGCACCCUAUUCCCUAUGGGCUCUGGUCAAAUGGCACCCUAUUCCCUAUGGGCCCUGGUCAAAUGGCACCCUAUUCCCUAUGGGCCCUGGUCAAAUGGCACCCUAUUCCCUACGGGCCCUGGUCAAAUGGCACCCUAUUCCCUAUGGGCCCUGCUCAAAUGUAGUGCACUACAUAGAGAAUAGGGUGCCAUUUGGGACAAAGCCCUUUACUACACAGUGAAGUUUUGGGAUGCACUUAUGGUCAACCAGGCAGCUACUGUGCUACAGGAUGUGUCACAGCUGAGCCUUUAGACUGAUGACCAGACUGAACUAGGAGAGCUGUGACCACCAUUCUAUAGAUAACCAUGACCAGACUGAACUAGGAGAGCUGUGACCACCAUUCUAUAGAUGACCAGACUGAACUAGGAGAGCUGUGACCACCAUUCUAUAGAUAACCACGACCAGACUGAACUAGGAGAGCUGUGACCACCAUUCUAUAGAUAACCAUGACCAGACUGAACUAGGAGAGCUGUGACCACCAUUCUAUAGAUAACCAUGACCAGACUGAACUAGGAGAGCUGUGACCACCAUUCUAUAGAUGACCAGACUGAACUAGGAGAGCUGUGACCACCAUUCUAUAGAUGACCAGACUGAACUAGGAGAGCUGUGACCACCAUUCUAUAGAUGACCAGACUGAACUAGGAGAGCUGUGACCACCAUUCUAUAGAUAACCACGACCAGACUGAACUAGGAGAGCUGUGACCACCAUUCUAUAGAUAACCACGACCAGACUGAACUAGGAGAGCUGUGACCACCAUUCUAUAGAUAACCAUGACCAGACUGAACUAGGAGAGCUGUGACCACCAUUCUAUAGAUAACCAUGACCAGACUGAACUAGGAGAGCUGUGACCACCAUUCUAUAGAUGACCAGACUGAACUAGGAGAGCUGUGACCACCAUUCUAUAGAUAACCAUGACCAGACUGAACUAGGAGAGCUGUGACCACCAUUCUAUAGAUAACCACGACCAGACUGAACUAGGAGAGCUGUGACCACCAUUCUAUAGAUAACCAUGACCAGACUGAACUAGGAGAGCUGUGACCACCAUUCUAUAGAUAACCAUGACCAGACUGAACUAGGAGAGCUGUGACCACCAUUCUAUAGAUAACCACGACCAGACUGAACUAGGAGAGCUGUGACCACCA